CCAGACUCCUACGGGAGGCAGCAGUGGGGAAUAUUGCACAAUGGGGGAAACCCUGAUGCAGCGACGCCGCGUGAGUGAAGAAGUAUUUCGGUAUGUAAAGCUCUAUCAGCAGGAACGAGACAAGACGGUACCUGACUAAGAAGCCCCGGCUAACUACGUGCCAGCAGCCGCGGUAAUACGUAGGGGGCAAGCGUUAUCCGGAAUCACUGGGUGUAAAGGGAGCGUAGACGGCUGUGCAAGCCUGAAGUGAAAGGCGGGGGCCCAACCCCGGGACUGCUCUUGGAACUGCGUGGCUGGAGUGCAGGAGGGGCAGGCGGAAUUCCUGGUGUAGCGGUGAAAUGCGUAGAUAUCAGGAGGAACACCGGUGGCGAAGGCGGCCUGCUGGACUGCAACUGACGUUGAGGCCCGAAAGCGUGGGGAGCAAACAGGAUUAGAUACCCGGGUAGA
rnacentral:rRNA from 1 species